rnacentral:lncRNA from 1 species
UCUAACAAGCCUAUAGGAAGACUUCGCUAGUUUGACCAAGCAUUUUAUACCUUGCCAGCGAAUUGGAUCAUAAGAGGUUGCUCAUGAGUUUUUGCUUACAUGUGUAGUAGGAGACUAGGAGCGCAAAAUGUCACGAAAAGCUAUCAGUAUUGUUCAUGGUGGUGGACGAAACUCUGGAUGCUAUAUUUGGAGAUGUUGAUAACAUUUCCCCAAGACUAGAUAUAUUAUCAACUCUUUAUUUCCCUUGGCACUACUUAAUGUGACACCAGUAUAUUUCCAGAAUGACAUUCCUGUCAAAUUAUUUUUAGAGAUGAAAAUAGGCUACAAAGUUCUUUGUAAACAUUAAUGCAAAACUCAACAGAGUAACCUGAAAUCAAAUGUGUGACUAAACAA